GAUGAACGCUGGCGGCGUGCCUAAUACAUGCAAGUCGAGCGAACAGACCAGGAGCUUGCUCCUCUGACGUUAGCGGCGGACGGGUGAGUAACACAUGGAUAACCUACCUAUAAGACUGGGAUAACUUCGGGAAACCGGAGCUACUACCGGAUAAUAUAUUGAACCGCAUGGUUCCAUAGUUAAAGACGGUUUUGCUGUCACUUAUAGAUGGAUCCGCGCCUCAUUAGCUAGUUGGUAAGGUAACGGCUUAGCAAGGCGACGAUGCGUAGCCGACCUGAGAGGGUGGACGGCCACACUGGAACAGAGAAUGGGCAGAGACUCCGACGGUAGGCAGCAGUAGGGAAUCUUCCGGAAGGGGCGAAAGCCGGAUGGUGGAACGCGGGGGGAGUGAUGAAGGUCUUCGGCUCGGAAAACGCUGUUAGUAGUGAAGAACAAAUGCUUAUGUAACUAUGCACGUAUUGACGGUACCUAAACAGAAAGCCACGGCUAACUACGUG
rnacentral:rRNA from 1 species